CAGUCGCCGCGGGAACACGUAGGGUGCAAGCGUUAAUCGGAAUUACUGGGCGUAAAGCGUGCGCAGGCGGUUUGUUAAGACAGAUGUGAAAUCCCCGGGCUCAACCUGGGAACUGCAUUUGUGACUGGCAAGCUAGAGUGUGGCAGAGGGGGGUGGAAUUCCGCGUGUAGCAGUGAAAUGCGUAGAUAUGCGGAGGAACACCGAUGGCGAAGGCAGCCCCCUGCGCCAACACUGACGCUCAUGCACGAAAGCGUGGGGAGCAAACAGGAUUAGAUACCCCUGUAGUCCCUGUCUCUUAUAC
rnacentral:rRNA from 1 species